UCCUCACGUAGUGACUGACGAGUA
rnacentral:piRNA from 1 species